AAGGACUAAAAACAAAAAAAUAAUUUUGACUAAAAGCAAAAAAACUCUAAAUUGUGAGGACUAAAGAUAUAUUUAAGCCACUUUUAAAUGAUAAUUUAUAGUAGUACUUAUGAAAAGCCUCAUAUAAACUUAUUGGGCUGUUAUCUAGAUGUUUGCCAAAGACAGUAUCAAAGUUGAUGUUGUUCAUCUAUAAUCAUGGGUUCACAGAAGGAAUAGUCCUCUAUGGACUAUUGGAAUGAGCCUCAUGGUUUCCCCCCUAAAAGGGUGCCUCAUGUGGGAAACAUGAACAUCUUUCAAAGUUCAAACCUGGGCGCUAUCUCAAUUUACUCAUUUUGGGACUGUUGAAUGCUUCGUAUGGUGUCAACAUUUUGGGACUGCCAAUUUAUCAUGGUGUCAACAUUAUUAGUCACUGGAAAAAAAUAAGUAACAUUGAUACUUUAGGAAGCACUACUCUUUAAGCCAUAGGAGGCAAUAAAGCAUGGAAGUUGAAGCUCUGCAAGCUUUCGAACAGAACUAAAAUUAAAAGAUGCUUAAGUUGGUGAUAACAGGGUUCAAACCAACAUCACAAUAUUUUUC
rnacentral:lncRNA from 1 species